GUCCCGCCUUCCCCGUCGAGCGUGAGGCGAGGCGCGGCCGGGUGGGGUGGCACGCCCGCGGUUGCGCUUGAGUUCGUGUCCGGCGCGCUCCCACGGAGCUCGUGGAGCAGCGCGGAAGGCCGCGCAGCCUGCCACGCCCGCAGACCCCCGCCCCGGCGCCGCUGGGUGGAGCGCCGCGGCUAAGCCCUCGCCCACCUCCGUCGGGAGGCCCGAGUGGACACGUGCUCGGGCCCGGGCCCGCCCCCAGCCCGGUCCGAGCCGCUGGGCCAGCCGAGCUCCGGAGUAACCGGAGUGCUGGCCGCAGAGGGGCACGCCCUAUGCAAAUGAGUGGGCGGAGCCUGGGGCUAGGGGCGAAAAACCGCGGAGUUAAAAAGAGUACUUGUCUGAGGUUGGGGUUAGGGUUAGGUGUUUUUCUCCAACCCGAUCCUUGGGUCCUUCUGAAGUAGAAGUAUUCAUGAUGCAUGUUUCGAAUGCUUACUGUAAAGUGUGAGCACCUGACUGUGUGCUCUGGAAUUUGCUGUCCCUAGCUCAUUUUCCCUUCACUGGGCCCCUGUUCCUAGGCCCCAACUUUUCACCUUUACCUAGGAAAGAAGCAAGUCCGCAAACUUAAGACUGCCCACGGCUGCAUAACCAGGUUCAUCAGUAAUCUUGAUUUUAACUCAACCCUGGCAGACGAAAGAUGGAACCCCAAAUAAUCACCUCCAGUGUUUAGCACCUGUAUUAGCCAGGGAGCAUAAUAAACCCAAAUUUGAAGUGUCUCAGGUUGCUAAUGGUAAAGACAAUACCAGACAACAGAUUCCCUGGCUGUUUGUCACACUCCCAUAUACCUACCUACCUCUUCAAAGGUUUCUUGGGAGAUUUCAGUGAAUCCAGCAAACAUCGCUAGUAAUCCAAAGCAGUCCAGGAGCUUGAAGCAGUUAAGAGUGAAAUAUGCCCUCUUCUCAUAUGUGAGAGCAUUCCAGAGGAGGGGCCUUCAUUUGGACCUUGAGUUAGUUGGUCAUGCAUUGAGACUUACAGGUUUUUUUAAAUAGGCUUUCAAAAGCUCCACCAUUAUUCUUAUGGGAAAGUUGUGAAGCAUCCCAGAUAUAAGCCAGGCAUUAACAAAGUGGUACUCACUUGCAAUGAUAACACCAAUUUACAUGGUUAUAUGCUGAUGAAAUCACAAUUGUAAACAUGAAGAGAACAAGACUUGGAAACUAAAGGAAAACUAAGGACCAUUAACUCCCUUUGUCUGUGAACUGAUAUUUAUGCUAACAUGGAUUUAGCAGACAUUCACCUUCACAGAGGGUUUUGGGUGUUUCUUCUGUUAAGUUUUAGAGGAAGGCCACAUAACCCUCAUUUUAACAGUUUGUGGGCAGAGGAUGUACUUCACUGGUAGAGCACUUGUCUGGCCCAUAGUAAGUCCUGAUUUUAACCCCCAGCACCACCAAAAUAAAAGUUAAGUUUGGAAGGUACCACUUAGGGAGAUCUCUUGUCUCAACCUUCCAAAGCCACCUGGGUGUGUGGUUAAGGCAAAUGAUGCUCAGGUUGGAAGCAGGAAAACGGGUUCUGACUUGCAACCCUUCUUUAUACUGAUAGAAAUCAACAGCUUUAAUAUAGAUGGCCUGUUAAAAGUGGUCUUGGAUCACAAAAUGUGAUUGUGUGAUUCCUAUGUGGAUUUGGGUGUCACACGGGUAGUUGUCAAGGGGAAAGCAGGGCUUCAUAGAUUCUAAAAUAUGCUUCUUGAGUUGGAGUUAAACCAUUUCUCCAAAGUGUCAGACUUUGAAAUCAUAACUCCUCCACUUCGAAAGACUUCCAAGAUCUAGAGCAGUGGUUCUCAACAGUAUCAUAUCCUGCAUAUCAGAUAUCUACAUUACGAUUCAUAACAGUAGCCAAAUUACAAUUAUGAAGUAGCAAUGAGAUACUUUUAUGGUUGGGGGUCACCACACCUGAGGAACUGUAUUACAGGUCUCAGCAUUAGGAAGGUUGAGAACCACUGCCCUAGAGGAUCUAGAGGACUGAAGGAAAGAAUAGGGCCAGCCUGGCUACUAAUACAGUCUCCAAGGGAAUUGAAAUGGGAGCAUGCCUGCUAUCCCCUCGGUUAGAGAUGUAUCUAAACCAAAGUGGGUCAAGAGAAGCUGAAGGCACGUGGAGCAAGGAUUACCAUGGCAACAAUCAGCUUGGCAAUCCACUAGGGUACCUGAAGAUCUAUAAGUAGGUCCCUAUUGUAUAAGUUAUAUUGAAUGAGUCUGUUUUUUUUUUAUAUGAAUGGACAGCAAGAUUAACCCUUCAUUACUCAUGCCAGUAUAAAAUCAAUUGAACCUAAAUCAACUCAAAGUGCAUUUAAAAGACAUAAGAAAAAUUAUAGCUAUUUCUGGAAAAGGCCUGAGAGUCAUGAGUAAAAAAAUUUUAAUUUCAUUGUCAAUUCUUCUAUAGUUUGGUUGAAAAAUUAAUAAUCUAUGCAUUAGUUUUUCCAAAGAUCCAACUCAUGUUCAUCUCCUGUCUAUAAAUCUCUAAAUCCCUUCUGGUCUACUCAGCUCAAAGUUGUAUUACUUGUGUACUUUCUUUGUUACUCCAUACAGAUUCACACACACACCAUGACUUUACCUGAAUUAAUAUUUUGUUCGAUGAUUUAUUCAUACAGUAAUAAGAGUUUCUUAACUUCGCAUUUGUGCUUACUUUGUCUCCACAUCCAGAUGGUAAACUUCUGAAUGUCAAAACAGCUGCUUCCCAGUUGCCUCCUUACACCUUACCACCAUGCCAUUGAGUGAUAAAAGUGCUGUCCUGCCUGCAAGAUGUGCUAGUGUAACGGUGGCACAAAGCUGGUGGGAGUGCCCAACCACUAUCUGGUCUGACUUAAGGCCCACUCCACCAGAUGGAACCCGUACCCAACACUACCUGGGUGACCAAGAACCUGGGACUAGGUAGCCCAGGGACCUGGAGGAAAACCAAGUACCACUGUCCUACUAGAGAAAUGCAGUGACAAAAUGAACCCUGAUGACAUCUGCUCUGCUCGCAGACCAGUGUCCUGUUCAGCCAUCAUCAGAGAAGCUUCUCCUGCAGCAGAUGAGAACAAAUACAGAGACCCACAGCCAGAUAUUAUGCAGAGAAUGAAAGACCUUGGAACAUUCAGCCCUAAACAGGAUGUCUCCAUCAAAUCCUUCCCCUCAGGGUUCAGGGAACCCUGAGAAAGAGGAGGCCGAAAGAGAGCAAGAGGGGAUGGAGGAGACAAGGCCUUCUAAGUUCAACAGGACCGACACACAUCUGAACUCACAGAGACUGAGGCAGCAUGCACAGGGCCUGCUUGGGUCUGCACCAGAUGGGACAAUGGAGCUGAAAGGAGAAGUGGACACAUGUCCCCAUCCCUAACCCAAACGCUUCUCCAGUUGAUAACCACUUACAAAUGAAAAUUUAGUUUUCUCCAAGGAAGUCUCACUGGGAAAACAAAGUACUCUUACAGGUGGGCAGCAUGCCCGGCAGGAGAUGCCAACAGAAAAUGAACUCAGUGGCAUCUUUGGAGGUUCCCUGUCUCAUGUCUGUCAUGGCAGGGAUUUAUUUAUUUAUUUAUUUUUAAUAAUUUUAUUUUCGUCUCUCUUUUUUAUCCUUCAGGUCCUUUGUGUAUACUCUGGCUUCCAGUUUAGUGUUUUUACAGGGUCCCUGAGUGUGUAAACACGUGGGUCUCUGUCUGCAUCUGAUUUGUGUCUUUCCUCGGGCUGUCUCCCUUCUGCUGGCUUCUCUGGUCCUAUUAUGAUUUGUUUGUUUUGUUUUAUUUUAUUAUUAUCCUGUAGAAGCCUGUUUGUUUUCUAACAAGAGACAGAAAGAGGGUGGAUCUAGAUGGGGGGGGGUUGGGAGGAGAAGAGGAGGGGAGACCAUAAUCAGGAUAUGUUAUAUGAGAAAAGAAAUCCUGGAAAAAAGUGAGACAUAGAAAUAAGGUUUUUGCAAAUGAGAAAUUGUAAGACAAAUUUACUUUGGUUGAUAGAAAAAUAGUAUGGUAAAACAAGUUCUAUUUCUCAUUCUCUGGGCAUCUAUUACAUUAUUUCAUUUACAUAUUAUUUAAACCCACAAAUGAUUAUUAGAUUAAUUGGUCAUUAGAUAACUCAUAAAUGAUUGUUGAAAUGUUACUUGGAAAAUUGCAGUACAGUUCCAGUACAUUGAACAUUAUCAGAGCUCUACAUGUUUGGAAAAAGCUAAACAAAAGCCAACAUCUAAACUCCGAGAACAAUAUUCAAAUUGUUUAAAGUUCUUUGUGAAGGAGAAUAAUAUGCUAGUCAGAUGUCAACAAUAGGGCCUUAUGCCUCGAUUAUAAUAGUCUGUGUGACCAUAUUGGCUGAGCCAGGCUGCUGUUAGGCAGGGUUAAGUGUAUGAAGGUAUAAUACUCUUGAGGAGUCAGUCAUGGUAGUGUAAUUGCUCUCAUGAAGAACUUACUAACUUGCUUGGCUGUAAUUGACAAUAGAUAUGUAAUCAGUGUCCUGAUGACUGAAUUAAUGAGCUGCAAUUGUUUGUCCUUAUUGUAAAUAGUCCUUAGCUAUGAAAAAGACAUUUUGCUGGAGGAUCUGGUGAUUGUAUUUAGCCGAUGAGGGGCCAAAAUGUAAUUAAUGAUAGAAAAGAAACAAUUAUUGUUGGAUCCUAAAGACUGCAGUGAUGGGUUUCAGGCUACAAAGAGACUCCAUGUCAGCUCUUUCUUGUCUCCAUGUAACCAUGGAGCCUGAUUUAAUGUUCUUACUCUGCCAGCAAGGAAACUGAGACCUGGGCUUCCCCAGAGUUCUAGGAACACAGUGCUAUGAUCACACACAUAGUUUUCUUCAUUUUGCUCUCUGGUUUUGUCCACCAACUCUGAACUGUCCCCCACCCCCAUGCUGCCACACAACUGUCCUGAAUUUCACCUUCUCCAGUCUUCCAGUUCCCGUACAUUCUAUGCAUAUGCUCUCCCGUGCUAAUUCUCAGUGAAAAUAGAAGCCAAUUUCCUACCCUCACCCAAACCCCUAGUGACAGACAAAUAUAUUUGAUUUCCAUAUAUAUUCUAGAUACUUCUGCAGAAGUGUGUCUUCUCUUUCUAGAGGCUUUUUCCAUCUGCUCCCACUGUGUUUCAACUACCCAGCCUAUGUCAACACACUCACACCAAAGUCACACUCCAAUCAUGUUAUGUCUUUGUUUUGUUUUUCUCAUCACUAUCUGGAAUCAUCAUGUCCAUUUAGGGACUGAUCUAUCUUUUGUCACCCUCCCAUUGAUGUAAACUCCCAUUGAUGUAAAGUCAUAUCUCCUGUCACCACAGUGUCCUUAAGCAUGGGUAUCUGAUUCACUUAUAGCAUCCUUAAUUCUUGUAUACAUAGUGACCCUCAAAUAUUUUUGAAUGGAUAUGUAAUUUUACUCAAUUUCACUCAGACUCAGUAUACCAAAACUAAACUGAUAAUUUUUCCCCUAACUUUGUAUCUUAGCUCAGUUCCCUAGAAAACAGCCUGAGACAUGGUAUAAGUCCUGGUGUUUUAUUUAGGAGUUAUGAGUCCAGGACAUCAGUAGUGAGAUGAAGAGCCAAGAAAGACUGAAGAACAGUGCAUUGUGAUACAGUUUUGUACCAACAAUGAUCCAGGACGAGCCUUGAAGAAAUAACAGCCUUCCUCUCUACAAGUGCCACAACCUGUCCAAACAGGCCAUCUCCAAGUAAUAAUGAUGGAGUAGUCAUGCCUUGGGACAUCUGAAGAAGGAAGAGACGCUAUACCUAGUUGGCCAAAGUUCAUCCCACAGUGAGUUAACUUUCCCUGAGAUUCCAGCUGUGUUAUCCAUGUUUUUCAGUAGCAACUUAGAAAGCCAGGUCCCUUACCCUAGAAUCUAGAAGUAGCAGAAAGAAGCCAGAUGCAUAAAGCUGGUUGGUCUCAGCAAUUAAAGCAUAAAGAACUUAUCUAAGUCUUGUGUUGGUGAUGGAAUGGAGCAACAUAAUAGGUCUUAAAAGAUCUGAGAAUAUAUCAAACUGAAACUGAUCACAAUCAUUGGUACUGCAGCAAAGAUGGGCCAGCUUUGCUUUAUCCUGGGCAUUACAGCCAGCCCCUACCACAAUAAGCACUGAUUAAUAAGUUUGUUAAAUACAUGAAUGACAUCACCACUUACUCCCUAUACUUAGAAUCCUUAGAGUCAUCCGUGAUCUGCCUCCUUUCUUAACUCCUUCAUAUCACAAUAAAAGCAGAAUUCAUGUUGGCUCUACUAUCAUAGUAUCUCCCAAAUCUCUUUAGGCUCUCUGCUGUGGUUCCCACUGUCAUCGUGGAGUGGAAAUACCGCUGUAGCUCCUUCACUUCCUGACACGAAUCUUACUCCAGUUCAUUCUCACCCCAGCUGCCAGCCUUUUUAAAACAUUAGUAUAUAGUCUAAAUGCAAAUCUGAUGUUACGACCUUCUUUUCCAGGACAAAACUACAACUCCUUAGUGUAAUCUGAAAGCUCUCUUACAGUGGGUGAGCAGACCCAUUAGAUUGGCCAACCAUAGGCUGUGAUUGGUGCUCUGCUCCACAGGAAGAGUUGGAAAAGUAAGCAGCUGACAUUUAGGGGCUUCUGUCUCAUAAUUGGGAACCGCUUCUCUCCAGCAGUCAUUAUAAACUCUACAAACAAAUGAAAUACAGUUAAGUGCUAGGGAGCAUGCAAGUGAGAAAUAUCUACUGUUUCAGCUUUUCAUCCUUGUAGCAAAAUGCCUCAGAAAGUCAACUAAGGAGGAAAAAUUUAUUUUGACUAAAGAUUUCAGAGGUUUUAGUCCAUGUCACCUGGCCCUGUAACACAGUAUAUCACCACAUGGCCCCAUUCUGAGUCUGUAGUGAGGCAGAGCAUCAUAGUGGGAGCAUUUGAAGCAAAUCUGUUCACCUCCUGGCAGCCAGAGAGCAAAAAGAAAAAGAGCAAGCUGGAUAGAGAAGGGACAGGAACAAGGUCUCACCUUUAUGAGUACACCCUCAGUGACCUCCCUCCUCCAGCUGGGCCCUGCCUCCUAGUCUCCAUCAUUUCAGUGACCUUCCUUCUCAAGCUGGGCUCUGCCUCCUAGUCUCCAUCAUCGCAGUGACCUCCUUCCUCCAACAGGCCCUUCCUCCUAAUCUCCAUCAUCUCAGUGACCUCAUUCCUCCAGCUGGGCCCCACCUCCUAUUCUCCAUCAUCUCAUUGGCCUCCUUCCUCCAGCAAGGCUACACCUCCUGAAGUUUCCAUCAUCCAAAUAUUCCAUAAUUUAUGACCACGUCAUUGCAUUAAUUCAUUGAAGUAAGAGACACCAUGAUCAAUCACUUCCCCUACAAAAGCCCCCUCUCCAAAUAUGACUGCUCCUGCAUUUGAGGUUGGCAGGCCAGCCUCCCUUGUAUCUUCGCUCUCUGCAUCCUGAUCUGCUGAGGUGUAACAAGCUAUACCACAGGCUCCCACAACCAUGGACACAACCCCAGCCAUCGUGCGCUCUGUGCAGUGAUGGACUAUGUCUCCCAAACUGUGAGCCAAAACAAACCUCUCCUCCCUUAAACACAUUGUGACUGGUCCUUGGUGAGUGCAUUAGAGACUGUUGACUUGUACAGUGAUGGAGUGGAUGUGUGCAGACAGUAAAAAGCUGACAUGGAAGCCACACAGUUCCAGGUUUCCCUCCUACUUGCCUUAUUCCUGCAGAUGGGUGAGGGCCCUUGCUCCUUGUCACACAGUUCUCUUUAGGAGUGUGUGUAUCUUUUCCUCCCUCUGUCUUUCCCUCAAGAGUGAGAGCUUUGAGGUAGAGUCUGUGUCUUGGAACUUGGCUGGCCUCACAGACUUAGGUGCAGGGCCUGAUGUACAGUGGCUGGAAUGUGAAGAGAGAAGAGAACAGAACUGGAGCCUCAUCCUGAGCCACAGCUCAGCCUCUGCCCACCAUGUGCAAUUACUAUGAUGCUGGAGAUGAAGGCUCCCUGCUUGGGGCAGCUGGCCAAAGAGAAGUGGUAUAAACCUACUGUGUGUCUGAAGUGUGUUCUCCACACGUUUACAUUUUACAGUGGACUCUUGCUGUGCACUUGUGCUGUAUCCUUUGACUCCUCGUUUUACUCACCUUUGCAGUUUCCUCCCAAGUUCAUCAGGCAGCAUCCAUUUUGCUGACAUCUUUAGCAUCAUCCUGGGGCUUUCUAUUCUGUAUGCAUAAGGUUUCCAAGACCCAGGCUUUAGAGAUGUAGUUUAUCACUAAGGAGCACACAUUAAAAUGAUUUUAAAGUAUUCUCACACAUAUUCAUGUUUAUUGCAACAAAAAUUCUCUACUCCUUUUGCUUUGUGUGGAGAGCUGAGGAAGCCCUGAAUGAACCAAGGUGUGUAUUGCUGACAUGGGCACAACCAUGCCAAGGACUCUACAACCUCAACCCCAUGGGAAAUAGCAAAGCCCCCCUGCCCCCAAGUAUGGUUCAGAGGGAUGGCAAAGCCUUCCUCUGAUCUGUGUGCAGAUGUGAAUAGUGUGCAGAAAAAGUCUGCCAUAGCUCUCUCCUGCCAGAUGUUCUCAGCCUGGAGACCUCCUCUUCAGACCACUCCUACUGAGAUGAGCCAAACCUGCUUCCUUGAAGCCCUGCCUUCAUGUUUAUCAAUGCGUAAUUGUAGCAAGAAUCUUAAAGAGUCUCAUUAAUAAAAUCAAACCUGAAGCCAGGUAUUGGGGUGAAUGCUGGAAGAUCAGAGAAGUGGAGCAAGCCACAGCUUCCUCACCUCGCCAAUUCCUCAGCUGAUCCUUUUUCCUCAGACCGGAAGCCUCUGAGUCCUCAUCCAAAUGGAUCUCAGCUGAACUGCUGCUAAUAGCCUAAAAGCUUAACCAGCCAAAAGCUUCUAGUUUCUGGUCUUCACACCUUAUAUACCUUUCUGCUUUCUGCCAUCACUUCCUAGAAUUAAAGGCUCACUUCCUGGGAUUAAAGGCAUGAGUCACUAUGCCUGGCUGUUUCCAGUGUGGCUUUAAACUCACAGAGAUCUGGAUGGAUCUCUGCCUUGGAAUGCUAGGAUUAAAGGCAUGUGUGCCACCAUUUUCUGGCCUCUA